UUUUGAGCCAAAACCUUAUCAAAUUGCUCAAAAUAUAGCUCAAGAUACAACCACGAGUAAAUCAAAUCACUUACUACCUUUAAAUUGCAUGCUCUCUCUAGUCGCAGUCACCAAUCCUCAAUUGCUAUCCAUACGCAUGCGUUAUGCCAAAAAGAGUGAUAGUAGCUCCCAAAUCAACACCUUAACUUUGAGUGCCUAUAUCUCCUUCAUAUAAACUCCAAACCAUACAAAACUUGUACCAAAACCAUAGCCAAAAACCUAAACCUGCUGACCUUAGCCUUCAAAGCUCAAAUGCCUUUGAAAAACUAACCCUAAUCCCUAAUAUGGCAUCGGGUAGCCUCUUCAAAGCCUAUUGGUCUUAAUUUUUGACCAAUAGGAAUUGAGAUUUUAAUCAUUCAUCUCCAUUCAUCUAUAUUGGUGUCCUAAUUACUUCUUUUGCUACCAAAACCUUUCUUCAAUCUUUUUUCUUAUA
rnacentral:lncRNA from 1 species